AUUGAACGCUGGCGGCAGGCCUAACACAUGCAAGUCGAGCGAGCGGCGCACGUGUGAGUAAUACGUGGGAAUCUCGCUUAUGGAGGGGGAUAACCACGGAAAACUGUAGCUAAUACCGUGUACCAUAAGAUACCCCCAAGUGGGAUUGGGUAGUUGGUGAGGUAAGGGCUCACCAAGCCGACGAUCUCUAGCUGGUCUGAGUGGAUGACCAGCCACACUGGGACUGAGACACGGCCCAGACUCCUACGGGAGGCAGCAGUGGGGAAUAUUGCACAAUGGGGGCAAGCCUGAUGCAGCCAUGCCGCGUGUAUGAAGAAGGCCCUAGGGUUGUAAAGUACUUUCAGCGGGGAGGCGUUACCGACAGAAGAAGCACCGGCUAACUCCGUGCCAGCAGCCGCGGUAAUAC
rnacentral:rRNA from 1 species